rfam:Ictidomys tridecemlineatus contig028297, whole genome shotgun sequence.
UGAGCGGUGGCUCAGUGGCAGAGCGCUUGCCUAGCAUGUGUGAGGCCCUGGGUUCGAUUCUCAGCACCACAU